rnacentral:lncRNA from 1 species
GCGCGCGUCUCCGCUCGUCGCCCGGCUCGGCGUCGGGAGUGCACUCUGUGUGGCCGCUGCUGCAGUGUUGUUGUGGUUGUGAGAAGGCGGCGGCGGCGGCGGAGUAGCAGCCGGACCAGACGCCCUAGUAGCUCAGUCGCUGCCCUGCGCCGGGCCUGGCAGGGAGCCUGGUGAGAUGGUGGAGGAGGAGGCUGUGCCGUGGCGGGCCUUGCCAUGUCCUGCUGCCUGGUAAGAACCCCAUCCCCGUCCCCUGUCUCCUCCCGGGGUGAGGAGGAGCUGGAGGAGGGGCCGGCCUCUGUACGGCCCCGGCCAGGCGGCUGUCACCCUCUGAGGAGGCAGCGCCAGGGGAGGGGCGUCCCGGGCGGCCGCCGCCGCCAGGGGGAGGCGCUGGGAGUGGGAGUGGGAACGGGACCUCAGCGGUCGAGCUCGGCCGGGACCCUAGGUGCGGGGGAGGCGGGGUCCCGGGCUCCGGCUGCCUGCCCAGACCUGGCGGGGAUGGGCCCGUGCGGCUCCGGGUGUGGGACGUAUCCUGGGAGCGCCCGGGGUUAUUCCCACUGACUCCCGGGAGGUGGGUGUGCGCCCUUCGCCCCCUGCCUGGUCUGUGGGGAUCCAUCGUUGCUGGAGACUGGAGGUCGGGGGCCAUGGGAGCCCCGGGGCGAACGGUGCGGGCCUGGGUCUUGUGGAAAGGAGGAGCGACCGCCUGAGCGUGCAGCAGGACAUCCUCCUGACCUGAGGAGAAAAAGCCCAGGCAUAAAAUCAUCUCCAUAUUCUCAGGCACAGAGAAAGGAAGUAAAAAGAAAGAAAAGGAACGGCCAGAAAUUUCUCCUCCAUCUGAUUUUGAACACACCAUCCAUGUUGGCUUUGAUGCUGUUACUGGAGAAUUCACUGGCAUGCCAGAACACUGGGCUCGAUUACUACAGACCUCAAAUAUCACCAAACUAGAGCAAAAGAAGAAUCCUCAGGCUGUGCUGGAUGUCUACGACUCCAACACAGUGAAGCAGAAGUAUCUGAGUUUUACUCCUCCUGAGAAAGAUGGCUUCCCUUCUGGAACACCAGCACUGAAUGCCGAGGGAACAGAAGCACCUGCAGUAGUGACAGAGGAGGAGGACGAUGAUGAAGAGACUGCCCCUCCCAUUAUUGCCCCACCACCGGAUCAUAUGAAAUCAAUUUACACACGGUCUGUAAUUGACCCUGUUCCUGCACCAGUUGGUGAUUCAAAUGUUGAUGGUGGUGCCAAGUCUUUAGACAAACAGAAAAAGAAGACUAAGAUGACAGAUGAAGAGAUUAUGGAGAAACUAAGAACUAUUGUGAGCAUAGGUGACCCUAAGAAAAAAAUAUACAAGAUAUGAAAAAAUUGGACAAGGGGCUUCUGGUACAGUUUUCACUGCUACUGACGUUGCACUGGGACAGAAGGUUGCUAUCAAACAAAUUAAUUUACAGAAACAGCCAAAGAAGGAAUUGAUCAUUAAUGAGAUUCUGGUAAUGAAAGAAUUAAAAAAUCCCAACAUAGUUAACUUCUUGGACAGUUACCUGGUAGGAGAUGAAUUGUUUGUGGUCGUGGAAUACCUUGCUAGGGGGUCACUCACUGAUGUGGUAACAGAAACCUGCAUGGAUGAAGCACAGAUUGCCGCUGUAUGCAGAGAGAGUUUACAGGCAUUGGAGUUUUUACAUGCUAAUCAAGUGAUCCACAGAGACAUCAAAAGUGACAGUGUACUUUUGGGAAUGGAAGGAUCGGUUAAGCUCACUGACUUUGGUUUCUGUGCCCAGAUCACCCCUGAGCAGAGCAAACGCAGUACCGUGGUCAGAACGCCAUACUGGAUGGCACCAGAAGUGGUUACACGGAAGGCUUAUGGCCCUAAAGUCAAUGUAUGGUCUCUGGGUAUCAUGGCUACUGAGAUGGUAGAAGGAGAGCCUCCAUACCUCAAUGAAAAUCCCUUGAGGGCCUUGUGCCUAAUAGCAACUAAUGGAAUCCCAGAACUUCAGAAUCCAGAGACACUUUCCCCAAUAUUUCGGGAUUUCUUAAAUCGAUGUUUGGAAACAGAUGUGGAAAAAAGGGGUUCAGCCAAAGAAUUAUUACAGCAUCUUUUCCUGAAACUAGCCAAACUGUUAUCUAGCUUGACACCACUGAUCAUGGCAGCUAAAGAAGCAAUGAAGAGUAACCGUUAACAUCACUGCUGUGGCCUCAUAUUCUUUUUUCCAUUUUCUACAAGAAGCCUUUUAGUAUAUGAAAAUUAUUACUCUUUUGGGGGUUUAAAGAAAUGGUCUGCAUAACCUGAAUGAAAGAAGCAAAUGACUAUUCUCUGAAGACAACCAAGAGAAAAUUGCAAAAAGAAAAGUAUGACUUUUAUAUGAACCCCUUCUUUAGGGUCCAAAAGGAAUUGUGGACUGAAUCACUAGCCUUAGGUCUUUCAGCAAACCGCCUAUCAGGGCCAUUUAUCAUAUGUGAGAUUUGCAUUUUACUUUGCUGACUUUGUUGUAAUAGAUCCCAUUCAUUGUCCCCUUUGGGGUAUUUCCAAUACUUGAAUGGCAGAUUGGAGUUUUUCAGAGUAUUUGUUUCAUCUGCUAGUCUUUCUCUCCUUCAUAGCUUUCCUUUUCCUGGACUUGCUCCUUUUGAGUUGCUUUUGAGUUUCUCAUGCCUAGGUAAGUGUAAUAGAAAUUAUGUAGCUCCUUAUGUUGGCAAAGGAGCUCUAUAUAGUUUCACUUUUUAUAAAAGUUAGGACCAGCUGUUGUUACAUGUAAUAUUUUAGUUCAGAACUUGACCUGAAGGAAGGGAAGAAAAGUAUUUGAUUUUUACCUUUUUUAACAAAUGUGAAAAAGUCAGUUUUAGAAAUUUUGUGGUAGUAAGUUUGGCAUUUGUUACAUGUAUAGAGAGAAGACUAAUAAUCUCUAUUUAUAACUAAAUCAUUGAGAUAGAAAAAGAUUCCCAUUGACCGUGUAUUUCUUCCCAUUUCGUCUUCCCUUCUGCCUGUUUCCCCUUCAGGCUUGGCUCUAGGAACCAAAGUGAUUUGUUCUUGUUCCAACCUGGGCUUUGUGACUUUGGUUAGUGCCACUACCUUCUUCCCUCCUUUCCCCCUUCAAUUUGGAAAUAAAUUUCUGUAUAUGUUGCAAUUUUAGGUUUAUUUUUGUUCUUUUUGUUUUUCAUUAAUCCUCUCUCACCUCACAGAUACCCCCCUCCCAUGGCAAAUAAUAUAAUAACCAGUGAAUUUUCGGGAAUUUAAAAUUAGCUUUUUUCCACUUAAAGGAGAACAAUAUUUGGGACUAGCAGGCGCAGAGUGAGAGACGUGAACCUUGGUGAUCUCUGAUAUAGUGAGAAGAGAUUAUACUCAUGAAAGAGAAUGUUAGUGUUACAGAGAAGCAGCCGAUAGGAAAUCAACUGUAGAGACUUGGAGGCGGCGGCAUUGCUCCAGGUCAUCAUCAGUGUGGUAUUAUCUAUGAGAACUUGAGCGACAGAGUAUUUCUUGAUGAAUUUAUAGAUCAUUUGAGAUGUUGAGUUACUUUUGUUUUGUUUUCAAAUAGGUAGAGACUAUUAAUGUAAAAAAACAAGAAAGGAAAAUGAAAUGUGCGUGUUGAGAGCAAUAAUUUGUUUCUUUUAAAGAUUCUGAAAGAUCUGAGACCUGUAGCAUUAAUUAUUUGAGUGCCCUCCCUUCUCCCCUCCCCUCCCUUUCUCUUCUCUUCUUUCAUCUCCUCUCCUUCUCCUUUAUUCAUUGUUUUGCUUUGGAAUAGGUUGUUCAAGUAUUUGGUUUGGUUCUGGCAUUUUGUUCCCACCAUCCCCUUCCCCCAUUAACUUCCCCCCUGCUUGCCAUCCUGCAGUAGUAUAAAUCAUGAAUAAAAAAUAAUUUUGCUGUUGUAGUAUACAUUGGGGAAACUAGCAGGGUUUUAUUUCCAUUAUUUUAUUCCCACUAUAUCUAUGAUAAGAUACAAUUAUAAGGAGAGAAGUGACUGUUUUUUAUUGAUAAGGCAAGAUUUUCAGAAAAAUGAGUAAAAUAAUUAAUGAAACAUAUUUAGAGCACUUAGUGGUCUCUGUUUUCAAUAUAAUUCUUGAUUUCAUUUUUCUCUGGAAUAUAUUGGCCUUCUACAGCUAUUACUGAAUUACAGAAACUGGUUUAUUUCUGUCAGAAAGCUGCAGUGCCACCUGAGUUCCAAAUUUUAACAUUCUUUGUAAACGGAUGGAUUAUGAUAAAGAAGAUGCUACCAAUGAAAUAGAAAACCAACGAGAUGAGAAGACUGUGAUCCUCAUGCACUCAGAGGCACUUCCCUUCUAAGUCAAAGACCAUUCUCACUGACUAUGUGCCAAGGCCUCACUUCAGGCUUGUGACUCAACAAAGGGCUUUUCCAUUGAUAGAAGCAGUUUGGGAUUUGUAGCUACAACUUCUUCGAUAGUUACCUGCAUGUCCAUUGCUGGCAGCUGACUUCAGUCAUUAAAACCUGGCUCUUUGGUUAAGGGAGCUACACUGUGGUUUAUUCUUAAGUUACAUGGAUAAACUAACCUCUAGCAGAAAUAUAGUUUGGUUAAUUUUGAGAUGUGUCAUUUUUAAACAAAAUCUUAAAAGCAAUACAGAAUUGUGAUUUAUUAAUUUUAAAUUAAAACAUUGAGAACUUGUUGAAAGAAAAAUUAUAUCUGAAUCAAGAUUCAUGUUUUUUAUUUUUUUUUAUUUAUUUAUUUUUUUUGAUACAGAGUCUCACUCUGUCACUUAGGCUGGAGCGCAGUGGCAUGAUCUCAGCUCACUGCAACCUCCGCUUCCUGGGUUCAAGCAAUUCUCAUGCCUCAGCCUCCUGAGUAGCUGAGACCACAGGUGCGUGCCACCACACCCAGCUAAUUUUUUGUAUUUUUAGUAGAGACAGAGUCUCACCAUGUUGCCCAGGCUUGUCUCCAACUCCUGAGCUCAGGCAAUCUGCCCACCUUGGCCUCCCAAAGUGCUACAAUUACAGGCACGAGCCACUACACCUGGCCUCAUGUUUUUUAAAUAAUUGCCUUUUAUAUUUACCCUUUUUGUCAUCACUUUAGAAUGAAAAUUCCCAUUUAAAUCUAAAAGUUACUUUAAUAGUCCUCUUGUGUUAUUAGGACAGUGUUACUAUAGUACUUAUUUAUUAUAUUUUAGACUUUUUCUUUUUUCUUCUGCUGCUUUUAGGGACAGUUAAAACUGGGAAACUAUGAAACAUGGAACAUUUUAUCCUACCUAGAAUAGUAAAUGAGUAAUUGUGAAGCGUAAGACACCGAGGCUAAUACAACUCUGUCUUCAUGUGUCGAGUGCCUGGCACAUAGUACUAAUUCUCUUCCCUUUAACAUAUAAAUGUUAAGCUGCUUAGAGUCUAGUAACCACCAACUGUAAACGAGCCUGUGCCUUUAACAAGAAAUUUUAAACUACCUAUGAGUAUUUCUUUAUAGGGCUCACUUAAAUACGUUUGUAUAUACUGUAUUCUAGCCAGAAUAAUUUUAGAUCUGAUCAGGUAGUAGCUAAAAUUAGAAAAAAACAAAAUAGAUGCUUAAAGAAUUUGCAUCCAUUUUUGAGUCUAAAUCUUUUUAAAUAUACUGAGAUCCACAUCUAGUGAAAUGUCAGUGUCAAAAUAUUAUAGAUUAUAGCUAAAAUCCAGAUUAAUACUCAUUUGGGGUUUUUUAUAGUGGAACUUCAUAGUAAUACAAGAAGCAGAUUGUCUUCCUGUCUCUGCUGCUCCCACAGUAGGUAUUGAAACUGGUGAAAUCAGUUUUUUGAUAGUGUGUGUAUAUAAGAAAAAAUAUAUACACACAUUCUUUUUUCUCAGUCAACACACUGAUUGAACACUCUGGCAAAGAUGCUGUGGUAGACGAGGUUGGAGUUAGAAAGAAGAAGCAAGCACUGGCCUGGCCUUGAAAGAACGGAAGUCUUUCCCAUUCACUUCUCUAGAAUGCUGCCAAGACAGAGGCAGAAAGAAAUGGAUGAUAAUUCUGUCAAGCACACUUCUAUUCUUUAUUAAGAGAAACAAUUAUGUUUGGAAUUCAGCAUCUUUGGUUGGAACGCAUUGGCUUUUUUUUCUUGUUGUGAUAGAAAUGGAAUUAAGUAAAAUUAUAGUUUGUCUUUUCUGUUGUCUUCAAAUUUUAUAAUGUCUUUUAUUUUUAAUUUAAUCCCAUUCAAUUAUUUAAUUGUUAUACAUUGACAUUAACUGCUGUAUUUUAUGACUUUGUUCAAUAAUUUUGUUCUUUCAGGGCUAGAAAUAAACUUUUUUAAGAAAUGUGCAUUUUUCCCUUUCCUAAACUUUUAUUCUUUCUUUUGAUCAGAAUAGCAUAAAAGAAUAGUUAAAUGUCUUAAUAGGUUUUCAAAGAACAUUCUAGUAUCUUUAGUGAUAAAUGUUUUAAACCUUUAAAAAAAAUAGAAUAGUAUAGCACUGGCACAUGAAUAAGCAAAUCUAGAGAAUAGAGCACGGAAUCUAGAAUUACAUCCAAGUACACAUAAGAGCCUUAUAUAUGACAAAAUGAGCUUUUAAUUCAGUACAUCUCCAUUAAAAACCCCAUGUAAAAAUACAAAUU